GGAUAAUCCCAGGCGACUGGGGAAAGGUCGGGUCAGGCUGGUUGGCCCGGUCCCUCUGAAGUUGGAUCGAAAGGUUCGGCGGAGAGGCAGGAUUCACCAGUUCCUCUGGCAUGUUCGCAAAUGCCAAAAGCGAAUGAGGGACUUGGCGGCCAGGAACGAUUGAGAAACCGUUCCGAGCCGGGUCAAGUAGUUCAGGCCGGUUUCGAGCCUGAGCGAAUCGCAGUUACCCAGAGGGUAAACGGUUGUUACUGUGCACCGGCACGGUGUCGGCGACUCUGGCGGAUUCAAUUAAAACGAUGAACCCGCCCGAUGAAACCCGUCGAAAGGCGGACAAAGGGAGCGCAGGCGCCGGAAAGGACACGCUGACUGGGCAGGUCGCGUGAAAACCUUUCCAAGCUGGCGAUGUUAAAAACGAUGUCGCUGGGCUGUGAGCCAAAAGCAACCUGAGAGUGAAGAGGCGAGACCCGUGGCACCGGGCGAACGCACCGCCAAAAGCGGUGGCUGACCCGGCGCUAAGCGGUCAAGACGCGAAAUGUUGAUCACAGGCGUGUCUUGACCUGGUUCACAGGCAGGUGGCGCAACCACCCGCCGAAGUGAGCUGAAAAGCCUCACUCGAAAUCCGGCGACCGCAAGGCGCCGGACGGCCCUGCUACGAGGCCGAUAACUCCGCUUGCCGUGGAGAAUGGCGUCGGGAAACCGGCAGCCCCCGCGAGGGUGCGCGCCUAAUGCUGGUCCGGGAAAGAGAGAUUGGCGAACUCC
rnacentral:ncRNA from 12 species